UUGACAGCCACAGAGACUGCGGUCUUCUAUUUAUCCACAAAACUGGUACAGCAUGGGCCAAUGGUAGCAUGGGCACUCUUUGAAUAAGCUUCAACCUGGAUUUGGAGGGAAAGUAUCUGUGAGUGAAAUGGUAGUUCAUUCUCUAUGUCCAUCCUGUUUUGGCUUCU
rnacentral:sRNA from 1 species